rnacentral:rRNA from 1 species
GAAUAAGAGGUUGCUAACUCUGUGCCAGCAGCAGCGGUUAUACAGAGACACUCGAGCGUUAUCCGGAUUUACUGGGCGUAAAGCGUCUGUAGGGGGUUUGUUAAGUUCCCAGUAAAAUCUUAACGCUCCACUUUAAGUUCGCUUGGAAAACUAAUAAACUGGAGUCCAGCAGAGGUGCAUGGAACUUGCGGUGUAGGAGUGAAAUCCGUUGAUAUCGCAAGGAACACCAAAGGCGAAGGCAUUGCACUGGGCUGGUACUGACCCUGAGAGACGAAAGCGUGGGGAGCAAAACGGAUUAGAUACCCGUGUAGUCCACGCCGUAAACGAUGGAUACUAGAUGUUCGGGGAUUCGACCCCCUGGGUGUCACAGCUAACGCGUUAAGUAUCCCGCCUGGGAAGUACGGCCGCAAGGCUAAAACUCAAAGGAAUAGACGGGGAUCCGCACAAGCGGUGGAGCGUCUGGUUUAAUUUGAUAGUAAGCAAUGGACCUCACCAAGGUUUGACAUCCUAUGACAACCCUGGAAACAGGGCUUCCUUCGGGCAUAGUGACAGGUGCUGCAUGGUCGUCGUCAGUUCGUGCCGUGAGGUGUUCCGUUAAGUCGGGAAACGAACGAAACCCUCGUCGCAUGUUACAAAUUUCAUGCGAGACUGCCCGGGUCAACCGGGAGGAAGGCGGGGAUGACGUCAGAUCAGCAUGGCCCUUAUACCUUGGGCUACACAGGCGCUACAAUGGCCGGUACAAAGGGUUGCAAAACCGCGAGGUGAAGCUAAUCCCAUAAAGCCGGUCCAAGUUCGGAUUGGAGGCUGCAACUCGCCUCCAUGAAGUUGGAAUCGCUAGUAAUCGUGGAUCAGCCAUACCACGGUGAUACGUUCCCGGAUCUUGUACUCACCGCCCGUCACACCAAGAGAGUUGGUAGCUCCUGAAGCGUCGCAUUAG